GUAUAUGAGGUGAUUAAUUGGAGGGCAAAUCAAGUGCCAGCAGCCGCGGUAAUACUUGUUCCAAGAGUGUGUAUGAUGAUUGAUGCAGUUAAAAAGUCCGUAGUUUAUUUUUUAAGAAGCAAUAUGAGGUGUACUGUAUAGUUGGGAGAAAGAUGAAAUGUGACGACCCUGACUGGACGAACAGAAGCGAAAGCUGUACACUUGUAUGUAUUUUUUGAACAAGGACGUAAGCUGGAGGAGCGAAGAUGAUUAGAUACCAUUGUAGUUCCAGCAGUAAACUAUGCCGACGAUGUGAUAUGGAAAUGUUAAUUUGUAUUACAUAAUAGAAAUUUGAGUUUUUUGGCUCUGGGGAUAGUAUGAUCGCAAGAUUGAAAAUUAAAGAAAUUGACGGAAGAAUACCACAAGGAGUGGAUUGUGCGGCUUAAUUUGACUCAACGCGAGGUAACUUACCAAUAUUUUAUUAUUUUGAGAGAACGGUUUUUGUUUGAGAAUGAUAAUAGUGGUGCAUGGCCGUUUUCAAUGGAUGCUGUGAAGUUUUGAUUAAUUUCAACAAGACGUGAGACCCUUAUUUUUUAUUAAAGACUGACACAAUCAGUGUAGGAAGGAAAGGAUUAAAACAGGUCCGUUAUGCCCUCUGACAUUUUGGGCUGCACGCGCAAUACAAUAGAUAUA
rnacentral:rRNA from 1 species